CCUCCGCAACAAGAAAGAGAGAGAGAGGGUGGGGAGAAUUGGUACAAACUUGUAACGCCACACGAAAAUAAUAAUUUGGUUCUUGAAUUUCUCCCUCAAAAGAAGAGAAUCCUUCUCUUCCAGACGCCCUUAUUGCCUCUCUCUCUCUCCCUGUUUUCUCUAAUUUUCUUAAUAAUUCACCCAUUUGGAGAAGAGAGUGGACAUCAGACGGAUAGUGUUUUAGUGCCUGCAUGUAGAGAGAGAGAGAAGAGACAAGAAGUUUU
rnacentral:ribozyme from 13 species